CGCAACGUCUUUCACUGCAUCGCAUUUGCCGGGGCUGAAUCCCCUUUCUUGAGCGAUCGCCUUCGCUCGUUGGCAGAAAGCCUUGAUGCGUGCGUCUAGUUUGUUGGGGUGACACUCCGCCUCUUUAUACUCUUAGGAGGCGAGAAACUCCCGUUCCCUUCUCCUUUCUUACUCUUCUGAGGAUGGUUCAGGGGGAGCCG
rnacentral:lncRNA from 1 species